AGAGUUUGAUCCUGGCUCAGGAUGAACGCUGGCGGCGUGCCUAAUACUUGCAAGUCGAGCGAACGGACGAGAAGCUUGCUUCUCUGAUGUUAGCGGCGGACGGGUGAGUAACACGUGGAUAACCUACCUAUAAGACUGGGAUAACUUCGGGAAACCGGAGCUAAUACCGGAUAAUAUUUUGAACCGCAUGGUUCAAAAGUGAAAGACGGUCUUGCUGUCACUUAUAGAUGGAUCCGCGCUGCAUUAGCUAGUUGGUAAGGUAACGGCUUACCAAGGCAACGAUGCAUAGCCGACCUGAGAGGGUGAUCGGCCACACUGGAACUGAGACACGGUCCAGACUCCUACGGGAGGCAGCAGUAGGGAAUCUUCCGCAAUGGGCGAAAGCCUGACGGAGCAACGCCGCGUGAGUGAUGAAGGUCUUCGGAUCGUAAAACUCUGUUAUUAGGGAAGAACAUAUGUGUAAGUAACUGUGCACAUCUUGACGGUACCUAAUCAGAAAGCCACGGCUAACUACGUGCCAGCAGCCGCGGUAAUACGUAGGUGGCAAGCGUUAUCCGGAAUUAUUGGGCGUAAAGCGCGCGUAGGCGGUUUUUUAAGUCUGAUGUGAAAGCCCACGGCUCAACCGUGGAGGGUCAUUGGAAACUGGAAAACUUGAGUGCAGAAGAGGAAAGUGGAAUUCCAUGUGUAGCGGUGAAAUGCGCAGAGAUAUGGAGGAACACCAGUGGCGAAGGCGACUUUCUGGUCUGUAACUGACGCUGAUGUGCGAAAGCGUGGGGAUCAAACAGGAUUAGAUACCCUGGUAGUCCACGCCGUAAACGAUGAGUGCUAAGUGUUAGGGGGUUUCCGCCCCUUAGUGCUGCAGCUAACGCAUUAAGCACUCCGCCUGGGGAGUACGACCGCAAGGUUGAAACUCAAAGGAAUUGACGGGGACCCGCACAAGCGGUGGAGCAUGUGGUUUAAUUCGAAGCAACGCGAAGAACCUUACCAAAUCUUGACAUCCUUUGACAACUCUAGAGAUAGAGCUUUCCCCUUCGGGGGACAAAGUGACAGGUGGUGCAUGGUUGUCGUCAGCUCGUGUCGUGAGAUGUUGGGUUAAGUCCCGCAACGAGCGCAACCCUUAAGCUUAGUUGCCAUCAUUAAGUUGGGCACUCUAAGUUGACUGCCGGUGACAAACCGGAGGAAGGUGGGGAUGACGUCAAAUCAUCAUGCCCCUUAUGAUUUGGGCUACACACGUGCUACAAUGGACAAUACAAAGGGCAGCGAAACCGCGAGGUCAAGCAAAUCCCAUAAAGUUGUUCUCAGUUCGGAUUGUAGUCUGCAACUCGACUACAUGAAGCUGGAAUCGCUAGUAAUCGUAGAUCAGCAUGCUACGGUGAAUACGUUCCCGGGUCUUGUACACACCGCCCGUCACACCACGAGA
rnacentral:rRNA from 1 species